GCUGUAUAGGUAUGGGGCAUGCCCCCGCCAAGGCGUAACUUGGCGGGAUGGCAUACCUGCCAUCCCAAUAAAAGCCACUCAGAAUUCUCCUCCCAGCACAGGAGCAUCACCUGUAAGACAGAGAGGGAGAUCUGUGUGUGACAAUGGGAGCUAUUGUAGCAUUAGCUGUGUUGCUGGGAGCUUUAUCAUACGUUCACUGUGUUGAACUCAUACAGCCAGGCUCAAUGGUUAUAAAACCAGGAGAGACUUUAUCUGUGUCCCGUAAAGUCUCAUAUUCAGUUAGCAGUGAUCACACAGCCUGGAUCCGACAGCCUGCAGGGAAAGCACUGGAGUGGAUUGGAGUUAUAUAUUCUUUUGAUAGCACUGCUUACAAACAUUCACUAAAGAACAAGUUCACCAUCUCCAGAGACACCUCCAGUAACACAGUGUUUUUACGUGGGAGCAGCCCGCAGACUGGAGACACAGCUGUGUAUUACUGUGCCCGAUACACAGAGUGCAGUAAAGCCACAGCAGACCUGUACAAAAACCCACCCGGAUGAGUGUAGUGGCAGAACACAAACAUUUAAGAGCUCUGUGAAGUUUGCACCCCACAUGAUCAGAAUGUGAAUUAAAAUAUUUUCAUCCAUUUGUGCUGCAGUGUGCCGAUAAAAUGUAAAUCCCAUAAUGGUUUAGGACCUGUGUUUGUAACUCAAAAGGUGUAGUUUAAAUUCCCAGCUGGAGAGUAUGCAUUGUAGCCUUGAAAAUGCUUUUCCUAGAUCUUUUGACUAAAACUCCAGCUGCAUCAAAGGACUGUAUGUAAAUUUAAAAUUCUCAUUUACUGUUUCUAUUAUGAAACCGUGAAUGAAUAAGUCAUAAAACCAUUUUGAACAUCCAAAAGGUGAUCUUUUUUUGCUUUAGGAAAACCUUAUUUUAUUACACACAAAAUACAAAACUUUAGAGACAUGUAGUCUGUUAUUGCCACUGAUGUAAAUAAAAUCUGCUCCUCAGUACAAUUUAUGUACAUACAAAUGAGCAGAUCAGCACUGUACUUAAAUAAAAGGUCCAGAUACAAACCUUCCUGUUCAUGGUAUAUCUAAAGAAUACCUGUAGACAAGAAUAUACUGGGAUCACAGGAUAUUAGUCCCCAGAGAAACACAAAGAUGCACAAAAUGCUCCUCAUUAUUGAUUCAGUCCCCAGCGAAUUUUCUAUAAAAUUCAUUUACAACGUGAACUUCACCUUGAAGACAAAGAGGGAGCAUCUCACACCACAGACCUACCAAAAAACCAGCUCCGCCCCCUUUUCUGUUUAAAUAUGACCACAGCCUCUAAGCCCUGGAGAGGUGAGAACAGCAGCUCACUGCAGCUCAUCUGCAACACAAACCAUGUUCCCUGCAUCUCUGCAGAAGGUCCUGGCAGCUGCAUCCUCGUGUGAUCUGCCCACCCAGUGAGGAGGAGUCCAUGCGAACUCUGAGCUAUUCCUUCUACAUUUACCUCUCUGCACCGAGGGAGGAGGGGCUGUUGUUGGAGACUGAAUGAAGGACCAUCAUCACAUACUGCAGUGAAAGA